rnacentral:rRNA from 1 species
GUCCACGCCGUAAACGAUGCCGGCUCGUUCUUUGUCCUGCGUUUAGCAGGGUGAGGGGCUAAGCUCACGCGGUAAGCCGGCCGCCUGGGGAGUACGAGCGCAAGCUUAAAACUCAAAGGAAUUGACGGGGGCCCGCACAAGCAGCGGAGCGUGUGGUUUAAUUCGACGCAACGCGAAGCAACCUUACCCAGGCUUGACAUGUGCCUGCAAUCCGGUGAAAGCCGGCUCCUUCGAGGGUGGCACACAGGUGCUGCAUGGUUGUCGU